rnacentral:lncRNA from 10 species
CCUGAGUACACAUUAAUCUGAGCUCCCUCAGCCCUAGGGGUAGGGGGAUUGGGGGCACAAGAUGGGUGGAGCCAGAUAGGGAAGAUUCCCCCAGUGUUGUCCUGCUCCCAGUCCAGGUUUGGGACAAUGCCGGCAGCGUUUCCCUGUGUCUUUCCCCCACAAAGUCUCCAAGUCUUUCCUCAAAUGAUCGUCAAGGUUUGGGAGAAACAAUCUCUUCCUCUGCCCGGGUUGCGUGGAUCUCCAGUGGAAAGGCUUUAUCUACCAAGAAAUGAAUUGGAUAAUCCACAUAAACAAAAAGCUUGGAAAAUUUAUCCACCAGAAUUUGCCGUGGAGAUACUUUUUGGGAACGGGUCACGCAUGUGGAUGAUCAAAGGUCAGCUC